rnacentral:misc_RNA from 1 species
UCGUAACAAGGUUUCCGUAGGUGAACCUGCGGAAGGAUCAUUAAAGAGUAAGGGUGCUCAGCGCCCGACCUCCAACCCUUUGUUGUUAAAACUACCUUGUUGCUUUGGCGGGACCGCUCGGUCUCGAGCCGCUGGGGAUUCGUCCCAGGCGAGCGCCCGCCAGAGUUAAACCAAACUCUUGUUAUUUAACCGGUCGUCUGAGUUAAAAUUUUGAAUAAAUCAAAACUUUCAACAACGGAUCUCUUGGUUCUCGCAUCGAUGAAGAACGCAGCGAAAUGCGAUAAGUAAUGUGAAUUGCAGAAUUCAGUGAAUCAUCGAAUCUUUGAACGCACAUUGCGCCCCUUGGUAUUCCGAGGGGCAUGCCUGUUCGAGCGUCAUUACACCACUCAAGCUAUGCUUGGUAUUGGGUGCCGUCCUUAGUUGGGCGCGCCUUAAAGACCUCGGCGAGGCCUCACCGGCUUUAGGCGUAGUAGAAUUUAUUCGAACGUCUGUCAAAGGAGAGGACUUCUGCCGACUGAAACCUUUAUUUUUCUAGGUUGACCUCGGAUCAGGUAGGGAUACCCGCUGAACUUAAGCAUAUC